UACGUAGGGCGCAAGCGUUGUCCGGAAUUAUUGGGCGUAAAGAGCUCGUAGGUGGUCUGUUACGUCUGCUGUGAAAACCCAGGGCUUAACCCUGGGCCUGCAGUGGAUACGGGCAGACUAGAGGUAGGUAGGGGAGAAUGGAAUUCCCGGUGUAGCGGUGAAAUGCGCAGAUAUCGGGAGGAACACCGGUGGCGAAGGCGGUUCUCUGGGCCUUACCUGACACUGAGGAGCAAAAGCGUGGGGAGCGAACAGG
rnacentral:rRNA from 1 species